AGCCCCGUAGUGAGUAACACGUCAAAUUGCAAAUUUGAAAGAGUUCCCUUUUUGGUUCCGGGGCUU
rnacentral:tRNA from 1 species